GUGAACGCUGGCGGUAGGCCUAACACAUGCAAGUCGAACGGCAGCACAGAGGAGCUUGCUCCUUGGGUGGCGAGUGGCGGACGGGUGAGGAAUACAUCGGAAUCUACCCUGUCGUGGGGGAUAACGUAGGGAAACUUACGCUAAUACCGCAUACGACCUUCGGGUGAAAGAGGGGGCUCGCAAGACCUCUCGCGAUUGGAUGAGCCGAUGUCGGAUUAGCUAGUUGGCGGGGUAAAAGCCCACCAAGGCGACGAUCCGUAGCUGGUCUGAGAGGAUGAUCAGCCACACUGGAACUGAGACACGGUCCAGACUCCUACGGGAGGCAGCAGUGGGGAAUAUUGGACAAUGGGCGCAAGCCUGAUCCAGCCAUACCGCGUGGGUGAAGAAGGCCUUCGGGUUGUAAAGCCCUUUUGUUGGGAAAGGUUGAUGCCUAAUACGUAUCAACUGUGACGUUACUCGCAGAAGAAGCACCGGCUAACUCCGUGCCAGCCGCCGCAGUAAUAC
rnacentral:rRNA from 1 species